rnacentral:rRNA from 1 species
ACUCAAAUGAAUUGACGGGGACCCACACAAGCGGUGGAGCAUGGGGUUUAAUUCGAUAGUAAGCGAAGAACCUUACCUAGGCUUGACAUGUCAGGAACCCCCCGGAAACGGGGGGGUGCCGCAAGGAACCUGAACACAGGCGCUGCACGGUUGUCGUCAGCUCGUGCCUUGAGGUGUACUGUUAAGUCAGCGAACGAGCGCAACCCUCAUCCUAUGUUGAUUUUUCAUGGGAGACUGCCGCCUCCAAGGCGGAGGAAGGUGGGGACGACGUCAAAUCAGCGUGGCCCUUAUGCCUAGGGCGACACCCGUGCUACAAUGGCCGAUACAGAGGGCAGCGAACGCGCAAGCGGGAGCUAAUCCCACAAAGUCGGCCUCAGUUCGGAUUGUAGUCUGCAACUCGACUGCAUGAAGUUGGAAUCGCUAGUAACCGUGAAUCAGCCACGUCACGGUGAAUAUGUUCCUGGGUCUUGUACACACCGCCCGU